UUGAUGUCACAAAGUCAUGGUGUGUGAGACCACCUCAUGAUCCUCCACUGCAGUGCCCACAGCAGCAGCACCAGAGAGGGGAUCAGCUCUUCAUCAGGUACCCCCCAGCUCACUGUAGUGUGAAGAACACGGCCAUGGAGGAAGAAUGGUAAAGUUCCAACCGACACAACAUGAGAUCUGUUGUGGUCUAUGUGAUUCCCUGUAAUCACAUAUUCUGACUCAGCUGCAUCCUCCAGUGGACCAGGAGGAAACUCAGCUGCUUGCUCUGUCAGAGGUUUAUGAGAUCCAUCAACUCUUCAGUGCAGUGGCCUGAUGAGUACCUGAGCAUCAAGAAGAAGGACUGCAGAGACAGCACAGGAGUAGAGGGGAGGUCCUUUGUGAUAGCAGCAAGACAACAAAGCCAAAACCUCCUUGUGAAGCCUCAUCAUAUCAUAGCUCAGCUGAGAGCACAGAGAAGGAGAAGAUUAGAAGAUCGUUGCAACUAAUCAGAGAUGUCAGCAUUUUUAAGGCCUCAGUGCCUCAGCACGAAAAGAAAAUCAAUAUAAAAGAAAUUGUCUUUGAUUUGGUGGUGAGUAUGGAGCUUCAUCUUCUUGGACAAAUUGCUGUAUGACACAUAGCCAAGGAUGGAGAAUGCUUCCACUGCCAGCGAAGGUCAAGGGCCUGAAGCUGUAAAUGAAGGCAGCCUGGGAAAAACCAGCACAGGAAGUAGGCUCCAGUCCUUGGUAGACCUUGUAGGCUGCAUUCGUAAGUGCUUCCUUCUUACUUACUUUUCUUAGCAUGCCAACCCCUCUGAAUUGCCCAUUACCUAACUCAAAAGACCAAACAAAGUGCAAAGAGUAAAGCAAGGAAGUUACUGCUUAGUUCAGUAAGACCAAGGGAAUGAAAAAAAAGGAAAGCAGUGGUCAUGAUUUGCAGGAUGAGGGAUAGAGAAAAUCUCCCAGUGGGGACUAAACACACUUUUGCUGCAUGCCACUGUAACAUCUGGGAUUAUACAUCUCAACAGUUGUACGUCAAAACACCCAGAUUAGCUGCACUGUAUGCUGAACAACACUGGAUAAAAUAAUGGUGCAUGCCACUAUUGGCUUUGCCAGAGAUUCACUCGGUAGCCUUGGAUGGUAUCUUUCUGUGCUGAUCUCCACCUGUAAAACACAGAUAAUAAUUCUUCCUGUGUAUCAUAUGGUUGUUGUGAUGCUUAAUUAAAGCGUUUAGAAAGUCUUUCAGGAGCAGCACUCUAUAAAUACUAAACGAGGCUGUUACUCCUCUUCUCCCUUGGUUGCCAUCAAUUGUUUUAUUGAUCUAGCCCAUUAUAGACUCGGAAAAGAGUUGUUUACAACAGUGAGAACUUAGAGCUGGAAUAUUUAUCUCUUCCUCACUAGACUCAAAACUUGCUCCAAUGUAUAUUUUUAAUCAUUAAACAAGUUAAGUCUAC